rnacentral:rRNA from 1 species
GACGGUGUCCCAGCCAACUAGAGGAGCCUGUUCUAUAAUCGAUGACCCACGUUUCACCUGACCCCCCCUUGCCCCCACAGUCUGUAUACCUCCGUCGCAAACCCGCCACUUGAGUGACCCUCAGCGGGCUCAACGGCCCUAUCGCCAAUACGUCAGGUCAAGGUGCAGCCCACGGGAGGGGAAGUAAUGGGCUACAAUUUCUAAUCUAGAACAAACAAAAUACUGCAUGAAACACAGUCAUGAAGGAGGAUUUAGUAGUAAAAAGAAAAUAGCACAUUCUUUUUAACACGGCCCUGGGACGUGUACACACCGC